CCAGCACUUUGGGAGGCCAAGGUGGGAGGAUCACUUGAGGCCAGGCGUUAAGAAACCAGCCUGGACAACAUACAGAGACGGGGUUUCGCCAUGUUGGCCGGGCUGGUCUCAAACUCCUGACCUCAAGCAAUCCACCCUCCUCGGCCUCCCAAGGUGUUGGGAUUACAAGCGUGAGCCACCGUGCCCAGCCACAGAGACAUUUUUGAAGGUGAUUUGGAGGGUGGAAGACAGGCAGCAGCCAUCUGGUUGCUUACCUGCUGGCUGACCUCUUGGGCAUGGGGCAGCAGCUGGGCUUGUACCUCCUCCAGCUUCUCCUGAUCCUCUUUCAAGUUUCUCUGACUCCUGGCCCAGGUGUGUGUUAAGCUCUGCGAGGGCACCAGCUUCUCCCACAAGACACCCACAUCAUCAAGGCUGGAGACAGUUCUGCUCUGUCCUUAUGGGUUCCACCUCAUGUUCUUGGACUCUAGCUUGUUCUUGCUCUCCCUGGAGUUUUAUUUCCCUCUUCCUUUCCACCCUGCCUGCCCUGCAGACUUCAAACUCCAGCAUCAGAUGCAAGGCCUCACAUGAUCAAGAUCCUCUCCUGCUUCUUUAGAGAAUGUGCUCCAUCAAAAAGAGAGAAUAAACCAAGAAGAGGAAGACAGAGGAUCCGGAAACAGGGGUGAUGAGGCACGGAAGUCCCAAGAUGACAGCUGUGCAUCAGGCCUUCAGCAGGCAGGAUGGGAGCAGAAGGAUGGGGGGCUCUGGGAGUGUCUCCAAGAAAGAAAAAGAAACUGAUCAAAUAUCUAAUUUUUAAAAUAUGUUGAGGGGAAAUUUAUACUUCUGCAACAAAUUUUAGGAUAUCGUAAUAGAAACUAAGAAAAUAAACAAAUAAAAAAAAACAAAAAAAACAAAAAACAAGGUAAUUAUCAACCCCGGGAGAACAAAGAUUGUAUGAGAAAAGAAAUAAAAACAGAAUUCAGU